AACUUUCGGCAAUGGAUCUCUUGGCUCUCGCAUUGAUGAAGAACGCAGCGAAAUGCGAUAAGUAAUGUGAAUUGCAGAUUUUCAGUGAAUCAUCAAAUCUUUGAACGCACCUUGCGCUCCUUGGUAUUCCGAGGAGCAUGCCUGUUUGAGUGUCAUUAAAUCAUCAACCCCACCGAUUUGUUUCGGCUUGGGGCUUGGACUUGGAGCGUGCUGGCAAAGGUCAGCUCCUCUUUAAAUGCAUCAGCGGAAGAACACACCUUUUUUCCCUUCAGCGUGAUAAUCCUGUUGCGCUGUGUGUGGGUCAAAGGUGUUCCGCUUAUAAUCGUCCUUCGGACAAAUGAACCCAUCUAUUUUUGACCUCAAAUCAGGUAGGACUACCCGCUAAACUUAAGCAUAUCAAUAAGCGGAGGCU
rnacentral:misc_RNA from 1 species